CAGCUGUCCAAAGAUUAAGCCAUGCAUGUCUAAGUAUAAGCAAUUAUACGGCGAAACUGCGAAUGGCUCAUUAUAUAAGUUAUCGUUUAUUUGAUAGCACCUUACUACUUGGAUAACCGUGGUAAUUCUAGAGCUAAUACAUGCUAAAAAUCCCGACUUCGGAAGGGAUGUAUUUAUUAGAUUAAAAACCAAUGCCCUCUGGGCUCUCUGGUGAUUCAUGAUAACUUCUCGAAUCGCAUGGCCUUGCGCCGGCGAUGGUUCAUUCAAAUUUCUUCCCUAUCAACUUUCGAUGUUUGGGUAGUGGCCAAACAUGGUUGCAACGGGUAACGGAGGGUUAGGGCUCGACCCCGGAGAAGGAGCCUGAGAAACGGCUACUACAUCCAAGGAAGGCAGCAGGCGCGCCAAAUUACCCAAUCCCGACACGGGGAGGUAGUGACAAUAAAUACUGAUAC
rnacentral:rRNA from 1 species